UCAAAUAUAAGUAUUUCAAAAACAUUACAGAAAUUUAGUGAUUUGUAUAUCCAUUCAGUCAGUAAGCAAUCUCCAGCAAUAUUAUAUAUUCAUUUAACAACUGAAACAAAAUAAACAAAUCUCAAUUGCAUUCGCAUAUUUACAAUUUAUCAUAUAGUAUACAAUUAUUACAGUUAAUGAGAUUGGCAAGUUGUAUGUGUAAUCCCAAAUCAUACCGCAGAGUAAUGACCACACUACACAGAACUUGACAAUGAGACUCACAACUGUUACAUUUCACAGUCAAGUUACUGGAAUACAGAGAUAAGGAUCCUCAUUAUUCACAGACUACAUAUAGUUCUUGCAAAUAUCUCCCUCUCUAAAAAUAUCCUGGGUAACUAGCAUUUAAACAAAUUCCAACAUUGUCAGUAGUGCCCCUUGGUACACUGUGCAAAGUGCAGUUAAACUAUCCAAUACAGAAAUCUUUUGCUUGGGCAGAUCUUUAGAAGUGUUGUCACAGAACUUGACAAUGAGACUCACAAAAUGUCACCACUAACCAGCACUUUGUGCUGAAUAUUUCCCCAUCAAUGUGGGAAGGUCCAAAUUUGACUGUAAUGAUUAAUCUGAGCAGACAGUUCAAGUCAGUUGAUGCAGCUAAGGGUUCAAACCUGACAAGGCCAAGGGACUUUCUGUAUGGGCCGGGGAGACAUUAAGGGGACAAAGGAAUGUUGACUUUCAGUUGAUGAGGGUGAUUGAAAUUGGCUUGGAGUCAGUGCAAGAUCUUCAAAUGUAUUAAAGGCAGUACAGGAAAGAAACACAGCAGCAGAAACAGAGAGACACAUGUGGAGCUGAUAGGCAGAAUGUGUUCAGACAGAGGGUGGUAGAUGACUGGGACUCACUCCCCCAGGGGAAACACAAACCAGCAGAGAUAGACAGAGGCAUGUU